rnacentral:snRNA from 1 species
GGUUUUCGACAUCACAGACGUUGACAGCUUCCAGAGAGUCAAAAAGUGGGUCAGGGAGCUAAAGAAGAUGGCCGGGAAGGACAUAGUGCUGGUGGUGGCCGGCAACAAAAUAGACAGAGAAAGGGAGCGGCAGGUGCCG